CUCAUGACACUCACAGCAAGAUUUAUAUUGGGUCAUGUACAUAGUAUGGCAUACAUGAGACUUCUCUUAGCCAAAGCAUAAAGGAUCCAGCUCAUAUGCUGAAUCUCCUCAAAUAUAUCAGAAUAUAUCUUCUUAGAGAAUUAGUCUCAUGCCUAAAAGAUAGAAACCCUUCUAGGAGUUUUCCAUGCUGAACCCUUCAGCACCUCCUUUAUGCACAUUUUUUAUAAAAGAAUUAGCAUCCCCUU
rnacentral:lncRNA from 1 species